GCCUUAAAUAAGGACGAAGACGCCAUGGUGAAAGAGUUGAAGACUCAGGCGUCCACCCACAAAUUCUCGUGUUUAGAUGCGGUUAUGGCCGAACUGAAGUGGUGGAUGAUGCGCCUGAUCACCGACUAAGACAACGAGCUUUAGCUAUCUGACCUCGGUCCUGGUACAAUCCAUAUCUCUAGUCUCUAAAUCUUAGCGAACUCACUGACUUUCUCUCUGUGCAGGUAUGGCGAGUGGCGAGGCUUCUAAAGAGAGCCGCAAGCGAAAGAGGGAG
rnacentral:misc_RNA from 1 species